rnacentral:rRNA from 1 species
GACAGAGGGUGCAAACGUUUGUUCGGAAUUACUGGGGCGAAAGCGUGUGUAGGCGGUUCGAAAAGUCGGACGUGAAAGCCCCGGGCUCAACCCGGGAAGCUGCGCUCGAUACUGUCGAACUUGAGUGUCGGAGAGGUUGGUGGAAUUCUCGGUGUAGAGGUGAAAUUCGUAGAUAUCGAGAGGAACACCUGCGGCGAAGGCGGCCAACUGGACGAACACUGACGCUGAGACACGAAAGCGUGGGGGAGCAAACAGG